UCACUUUUACACUUUAUUGUUUAAAGUUGUUACAAAAAAGUGUUUGCUGGAAACAUUCUUUGCUUUUCGCCUUUACAAGCACAAGUAGACUCCGGACAGGAGCUGAUGAUGAUGAAGGAGGAGGAAGAAGAAGAAGAGCGUGGUGGGAGGAAGCGGGACAGACAGACGGUUUGACGUUAAACAGUACAGAGACGAGAGUGAAGCCCUUACUCACACACUUUAUCCACAGAGAGAGACACGGCGCGAGGAGACAAAAACUGGGUGAGACAGAAAAACUUUAAAUCCAGAAUAGACUUCUUCUUUUUUUUUAUAUGAGGUAUCCUCAGAAGACUUUAGCAGUGUGUGUGUGUGUGUGUGUGUGUGUGUGUGUGUGUGUGUGGAUGUGACACAGGUCAUUGUUUUUCUCCCUGAGGUGAGUUAGUGUGUGUGUCCGAGCACUGGGGUGAUGAAAAUAAUCUGCGUAUGGAGAACUUCACUGUGUGGACAGAUGAACACACACAAACUGAAAACAGCAUACAUACGAUCAUGAACACAUAAAUUACAAUCUCACACACACACACACACACACACCGAUACCUGCAGGUGUACACUGAUCAGUAAAGCUGCUUCACUGUUGGGAAGUUUCUACAGUCGGAGUGUGUGUCUCGAUGUGUUGCGUGUACGCAGCAGGAGACUGACUGGGAGAAUUUGUGCUUUCACAUAAUGUACAAAACAUCAGGACUGUCUUCUCUUCACUUCACUUCAGUCUCAGUCUGUGUGGUAUUUUAGAGGUUUUGCUUUUUCCAUCUUAAAGUUUUUCAUGGAAGGUAAAUGUUUGGAUUCCCAUUUUUUUUCCGAGCACUUUAAAGUCUUCUGGCUCAUUUCACCGUGUCUUCGUUUAGAUUACUUUCAACAUAUCAAAUCUCACAUUUUUUUGUGCAUCCAAGUAGUGACGUAUGUUUCACUGUGACAUUCAUAAUACUGAUGUAAUUCUUUGGAGAUUUUGUGGCGAGUGUCGGGAAGGUUUGGUCACUUCUGGUUCAAAAUCCUACGUACUUCAUCGUUUGCUUGCCUGUUUUUUGUUUUUUAAAGGUCGCUGAAGGAUUUUCUGACCUGAAUGUUGUGACUAUUUUCAAUCAGUAAAACUCCAGGCCUUCUUUUGAACAUCUUUUUAAAACCACAUACGAAUGUACCAAGCACUACCACAGAUUCCACUUCUGUACAAACAGAACGGUUCUGAAGAAAUCAAGUAGAGCUUGAAAUUUAAGGUCCCACCACGUUAACUAACUACAGCUGAGUACAUUUGUUGGUGGCAGCUGUCAUUAGAGCUGCUAAAAAUAUGAAAUAAUUAUUAAAGUUUGACUGAAAUCAUAGUCCAAUGAGGUCUGGAGGAUUGAGACUCGUCUCUGGUUUGUAUCGGGUCGGUCACCUUCUCUCUACUUUCUCUCUCUCUCGUUUCUUGCCAUCUUUCUAAUGGCUUUCAAAUAAAAAAAAAUAGAAAUAACAAUAAACUAAUAAAAUCAUAUCUCUUGUAAAUAAGUGCUCUUUUGUCUGACUGCAUGGUUUGAGACCGCGUUAACUAGACGACAGCCAUCGGUUUCUUUUUGUCGUUUGGCCACCUGACAGAAUUCAU